rnacentral:rRNA from 1 species
AGAGUUUGAUCCUGGCUCAGGAUGAACGCUGGCGGCGUGCUUAACACAAGCAAGUCGAACGAACCUUCGGGUUAGUGGCGGACGGGUGAGUAACGCGUGAGAAUCUGCCCUCAGGAGGGGGACAACAGCUGGAAACGGCUGCUAAUACCCCAUAUGCCGCGAGGUGAAAUGAAUUUCGCCUGAGGAUGAGCUCGCGUCUGAUUAGCUAGUUGGUGUGGGUAAUGGCUCACCAAGGCAUCGAUCAGUAGCUGGUCUGAGAGGAUGAUCAGCCACACUGGGACUGAGACACGGCCCAGACUCCUGCGGGAGGCAGCAGUAGGGRRUUWUCYKCAAUGGGCGAAAGCCUGACGGAGCAACGCCGCGUGAGGGAUGAAGGCCUCUGGGCUGUAAACCUCUUUUAUCAAGGAAGAAGAUCUGACGGUACUUGAUGAAUAAGCCACGGCUAAUUCCGUGCCAGCAGCCACGGUAAUACGGGAGUGGCAAGCGUUAUCCGGAAUUAUUGGGCGUAAAGCGUCCGCAGGCGGCCCUUCAAGUCUGCUGUUAAAAAGUGGAGCUUAACUCCAUCAUGGCAGUGGAAACUGUUGGGCUUGAGUGUGGUAGGGGCAGAGGGAAUUCCCGGUGUAGCGGUGAAAUGCGUAGAUAUCGGGAAGAACACCAGUGGCGAAGGCGCUCUGCUGGGCCAUCACUGACGCUCAUGGACGAAAGCCAGGGGAGCGAAAGGGAUUAGAUACCCCUGUAGUCCUGGCCGUAAACGAUGAACACUAGGUGUCGGGGGAAUCGACCCCCUCGGUGUCGUAGCCAACGCGUUAAGUGUUCCGCCUGGGGAGUACGCACGCAAGUGUGAGACUCAAAGGGAUUGACGGGGGCCCGCACAAGCGGUGGAGUAUGUGGUUUAAUUCGAUGCAACGCGAAGAACCUUACCAGGGUUUGACAUCCUGCGAAUCUCUUGGAAACAGGAGAGUGCCUUCGGGAACG